rnacentral:tRNA from 1 species
GCAGUGGUGGUUUAGUGGUAGAAUUCUCGCCUGCCACGCGGGAGACCCGGGUCCGAUUCCUGGCCAAUGCA